GCUGGGCAAAAUGGAGCCGUCGCCCUUAGAAUUCACGGUUCUUGCCUCCUAGAAGUCAGAGCCAGUGAACUCUGAUUUUUAGUCCCCCGGAGACUUGGCCAUUGCCGGGGAGACCUCAAGGUAGGCAUCCGUGUUCCCCCGAGUGUGGCCAGCCACAGUCUGCCCCGCAUCCACAGCCAGGCCUGCCUUCGAGACGGCACCGAAGUGCUGUGGGCAGGACCAGCACGUCCCAGGGCUUGCCAGAUCACCGUCUCUGGGCCCUCUCCAGCUCCAGAUUUAUCCUGAACCCCAUGGAGCCCAGGUGAGUCCUCGGAGCUCUGGGAAGCUUUGGACAGUGCCCAGGCCUGCCCCACUGCGAUCCUCUUUUUUCGGCUUCUGGCAGGCUCCCGUGACACGCAGCCAUUCCAUGGAGAUGUUCAAACCAGACCUUCCUGGGACAGUCGCUGGAGGACAGACCGGCUCUCCCGGAGAGAUGGAAGCCCAGGGGUAUCCAGCCUCCAUCUGUCUGUGAGGCUUCCCAGGGGCCUUGCAUGCUCCAACCAGGCCAUAGGCUUGACUGGACGUAGGCCAGCGGCAGGAGAACCUGCUCUGGCUGGCAUUGCAAGGUGCCAGGCGCACCUGAGCAGCUGGGCAGGUGUGACAGAUGCCCUGGACCUCACGGAGCUGGCUAUGCCUUGUGCACACACCACCGUCCCAUCCCACCUCCCCUCUCCAAACCUCCCUCUGCUUCCCGGCUAGCUCAGGUGUGGUGCAUCUGUGGCCCGUUGGCAGCUUUCUUGCCCGCAGUGCUAGGGAGCUGUCAGGUUAAAAGCUGGCUUGCUCGAUUUGAUCCCACAUGUGAGCUGUUUUAUUUCCCUCUCUCUCCCUUACAUGGCUUUGGUGUGCUUUUAUAAAUAUUUCACUAGCCUUGCUAAAGUCUAUUUCAUCUCUCUCUUAAAUUUAUUAAAUAUAAAUGCAGCAACAACUCCAGCAUAAGUCUCUCUUUGCUGUCAAAAUCUCAGGCUCCCGUGGAAGUAAAUAUAAUUUGCUUUGUUUACUGAGGGUAAUUUGGAGCCCUAUCUUCUGUAUCAGCACCGCCUGUGCCCCCCAAAUUUCCCUGCUUUCAUGACCAGGGGUCUGCCACAACCUCAUGUGGCGCACAGGGACCUGGUGCCCACUCUGAAGAUGGCAUGACACAGAACCAGCAGGGGUUGUUCUCUGAGACUUGCCCAGCCAGAAUCCCUUGGUUCGUUGGUCUCCCGAAGGCACCCCCGAUGGGUAAAGGGGCACCUGUACUCAUCACCCCAGACCCAUGCAGGCCCGGAGGCCUGUCUGAACCGUGCUUUGCCCCUUGCCUCUCUUGGAGAACAGGCCCAUCUGCACAGCUGGUGACCUGGCCAAAAGAGAUGCAGAUGGCUGUGAAAUCAUUGAGGGCAUUGACAUCCCU